AAACAGGAUUUUCCUUGGCUCUUCACCUGAGAAUCUGGGGGUACAACACAUGACAGCAUGGGGCUCCCCUAAGACUGUGGUCCCAGGCAUUUCGCCUCUCCAACUCGCCCACCUGUCACCCAGUGUGGACAUCGCCACCUCUGCGUCCCUGCCAUUUCCGGCUGCAGUGCUUCUCCCCAGUGUCCAGGUGGCCCGAGGGCGGCACGUGGAGGUCGGCUGCUUUUUCCUAAGACCUGUUUUGCUCCUGCCUCGUGGAGGAACAGCCCAUGGUGCUCCUCCGUGUGUUUGGCUCCGUGGACGACGGAAUAGUGAGCCCCGAGUGUUCUUCGUCAGCAGUUUUAAUGAGGAGAGACUCGCGAGGAUCUGCUUCCGCUUCACCCCAGAGCAGACCCGGAGGAAGAACGUUUUCUGCAUCCGGAAAAUUCUGCAACCCUGGGGAGGCCGCCUUCUUCGGAGCCCGCCCUCCCCAGCCGUUUACCAGGCUGCCUUCUUGAUGACAGACCGAACAUGUGAAACUUUGGGCGACAAGGAGGCUGAUCAUUAG
rnacentral:lncRNA from 1 species